GUCUCACAUUUCUUUGGUUUUCUUCUUGGAUGACUCAUCCAUCUCUGCUUCCUCCUCUGUAGUUCCAUUACUGGUUCCUGUUUGGUAAUGACCCGAAGGUACCAGAUUGGUACCAGAUUAUCAGAGAAGAAUGACAGAUUUGCAUGUAACGGUGCAUCUAAUAACCUUUCGCUUGGUUUGAUGUGGCUCUGUUGUAUGAGUUUGGUGUCGAAGAUCACCCAGAUAUUAUUUCUCCUUCUGGACGUGAUGAUUACAAUUUGAGGACUGAAGUACAGCGUUCAGGUGUCACAGAGAGUCAAGGUCUGCGCUCUGCUUCUUGAAAGGAAGGAGCUAAUCUGUCGCCUAGCAACACCUCCCACUCCUGCAUCGAAGCAGCAGCAAGAGAGAGGAUGUGGAGUAAAGAGGAGAGUUGAGGAAAAAAGAUAGACAUUUAGGGACACAGAGAGGUAGAAGGGGACGACUGGGGAGCUGAAAGAUGGACAUUAGUGUGUAAGAUCUGAAUAAUCGCGUACUACAAGCUAUGAAUGAGGAGACUAUCAUAUACAUGUACGGCUCGAUACUGCAUACAUAUAUACUACUUCCAUAUACACACUCUAGCAUUAAUAUGUGAUUGCAUACACAGUCAUGUACAAUACAUACAUAAAUAAACACAUGCAUAUACACAUCUACACAGUCUGUUCUAUUGUUUUUAUCCUGAAUCUGUUGUAACUAUUUGUUUAACCUGAAUUUAAAAGGCUAACAGGGUCGGAGGCUGCAAGUUAGUUUCAGCCAGACGUCCGAUAUACUGCACAUUACAUCUGUUGCGUUGUUUCUCCCUAUGUAACUAUGUUUAUCUGCACUCCUCCUGUUAAUAAAA